CGACCUCGGAUCAGGUAGGAAUACCCGCUGAACUUAAGCAUAUCAAUAAGCGGAGGA
rnacentral:rRNA from 1 species